rnacentral:rRNA from 1 species
CCUACGGGAGGCAGCAGUAGGGAAUCUUCCGCAAUGGGCGAAAGCCUGACGGAGCAACGCCACGUGGACGAUGAAGGCCUUCGGGUCGUAAAGUCCUGUCAGAGGGGACGAUGGUUGAUCUUCGGAUUGACUGACGGUACCCCCAGAGGAAGCUCCGGCCAACUACGUGCCAGCAGCCGCGGUAAUACGUAGGGAGCAAGCGUUAUUCGGAUUUACUGGGCGUAAAGAGUGCGUAGGCGGCUGGGUAAGUCAAGGGUGAAAUCUCUGCUCUCAAGGCAGAAACUGCCCUUGAUACUACCCGACUCGAGGACAGGAGAGGGAAGUGGAACUCUGGAAGUAGCGGUGAAAUGCGUAGAUAUCCAGAGGAACGCCAGUGGCGAAGGCGGCUUCCUGGUCUGUCCCUGACGCAGAGGCACGAAAGCUAGGGGAGCGAUCGGGAUUAGAUACCCCGGUAGUCC